rnacentral:rRNA from 1 species
UACGUAGGGGGCAAGCGUUGUCCGGAUUUAUUGGGCGUAAAGAGCUCGUAGGCGGUUUGGUAAGUCGGAUGUGAAAUCUCCAGGCUCAACCUGGAGGGGUCAUUCGAUACUGCCAUGACUAGAGUUCGGUAGGGGAGUGUGGAAUUCCUGGUGGAGCGGUGAAAUGCGCAGAGAUCAGGAGGAACACCGGUGGCGAAGGCGGAUCUCUGGGCCAUUACUGACGCUGAGGAGCGAAAGCGUGGGGAGCGAACAGG